rnacentral:piRNA from 1 species
UGCAAGACCUCUUCCAUUAUCCUGCC